UGUGAGCGGGGCCAACCCUAGUCAGUCGGAGUAGGAGUUCAGCUGAAAGUUGUGGUCUCACUACCUACUAGUGGGAAGAGCAUAUUUCUAGCACGCUUCCGCGUCGCCGCCGCCGGCGGGCAGGGACUACAAGUUCCGGCCGGCAGAAGGGCAGGAGUGGGGGCGGGAGAGGGCGGUGGAUGAGGCCUUCUGGGAAUUGUAGUAUUGUCCGCUCCGCGUUAGCAGCAGGUUACCAACGCUUGUCUUCCUGCCCUGCCUGCCCUCUGGUGGAGGUGCAAAAGAGCAGGCCAGAUCAAGCAGGGGAACAGUGAAAAAGAUGGAGAGUUGGUGCAGCCAAGCAGAUGCAUCCUCCCUAGACUUUGAUUCAGGAGCUGGUGACUCAAAGCAGCAGGGAUGACGCAGAGUCCGUUCUGGCCAGGGCACAGAGGCAACGGCAGCUGCAUCCGGUUUCCAGUGGCACCAGGGACAGCUGUUCUGUGGCAUUGUGCAGUGUCCAGCAUGCAAGGACUUGGCAGUGCGAGCCGUGGGUCAGUGCUUGGCAGCUGCCACAGUGACUUCACAGGAGUUGUUCUGCAGAGCACUUUGGGAGUGGUUCUUGCCCAGUGGUUUGUCUUCCCACCUUUACUUCUUAAAUUGGCUUUAAAGUUGACAAUUCAUUGGAACAAAUACUAAUAAUACUAAUAACUAAAUUAUAGAUCCUUUUUAUUAUGUGCCAGGAAAAUUUCAAAGUGCUUUAUGUAUGUUGAUUCAUUUAAUGUUUAUAACAACCUAUGACAUAUACACUAGUAUUAUUCUCAUUUUGCAGAUGAUAUACCAAGUUACAGAGAGGUUAGGUUACUUGCUCAAGUUCACACAACUGUAAAUGACUGCUCUGAAACCCAAACCUAGUCAGUCUGUCCUAGUUCUGAAGAGCUCUGACUGAUACAAGUACUGUUUUAUU